GAUGAAGUACGCAGCGAAAUGCGAUAAGUAAUGUGAAUUGCAGAAUUCAGUGAAUCAUCGAAUCUUUGAACGCACCUUGCGCCCUUUGGCUAUUCCGAAGGGCAUGCCUGUUUGAGUAUCGUGAACACCUCAACUCUCAUGGUUUGCCAUGAUGAGCUUGGACUUUGGGGGUUUUGCUGGCCUUUGGUCGGCUCCUCUCAAACGGAUCAGCUUUCCAGUGUUUGGUGGCGUCACGGGUGUGAUAACUAUCUACGCCUGUGGUUUUCUGCCAGAUAACCUUCAGCGAUGGAGGUUCGCUGGGGCUCAUAAAUGUCUCUCUUCAGUGGAGACAGCUUUUUGGACGUUUGAUCUCAAAUCAGGUAGGACUACCCGCUGAACUUAAGCAUAUCAAUAAGCGGAGGA
rnacentral:misc_RNA from 1 species